rnacentral:misc_RNA from 1 species
AUGCUGCAAAAUCAUUUUCUUGUAUCUUCCCCUCUUCUGACUAUCAAGUCGCCGACGAAAGACACUGGCACAUUUAUUCUCUGCAAUGGAAUUAAAAAUUUCCAUGAGAUUAGUAGUGAGUCCAACCUUGCUUGAACCCUUGCUUUUAUCAUCAACACCAAAACCUCUGCCAGUUUGACCAGAACUGCUGGUUGAAUUCUCUUUACAUCGUGUAGCUGAUAAAACAUCAGUUGACCCCCAAAAAUCACUUUCUCCGACACUCCCUUCCUUCGCAUCCUUACUACAACCUUUCCUCUUUCUCUUCCCUCUCCUCCUCCUUAUACUCCCUCCUUGUCCCAUAAAAAAGGUCUCUGCGAGAUUCACUAUGUUUGAAACUUUCUCUUGUUUAGGAGACAUUGGAACUUCUGGCUUAGUUUCAAUAUCUUCAACUGACACAGAAGCGGGAACCUGACAUUCACGGGACCAAUUUGUCCUGUUUUCCUGAGUGAACCCCCCUGCCGAUAGUCCAUCUUUUGACGUCUCUUUACUGGAAGAUUCAACUCCAUCAGAUUUCUGAAAUUGUACAAGUGAUUCAGUCUGACUGGAGUCAUAACCAACAUUGCUGUCAUUUAUUCUCUCAGCCUUGAGAAUUUCAAGCUUUGAUUCCAGUGACCCAAUUGAGUCUUCAGAUACUUCUAAAGCUCGCCUUAACUCGGCC